rnacentral:tRNA from 1 species
AGAGUUGUAGUUCAGCGAUAGAGCAUUUGCCUAGAAUGCACAGGGUCCUAGGUUCAAUCCUCAACCCUA